rnacentral:rRNA from 1 species
AUUGAACGCUGGCGGCAUGCUUUACACAUGCAAGUCGAACGGCAGCGCGGGGCAACCUGGCGGCGAGUGGCGAACGGGUGAGUAAUAUAUCGGAACGUACCCAAGAGUGGGGGAUAACGUAGCGAAAGUUACGCUAAUACCGCAUACGAUCUAAGGAUGAAAGUGGGGGAUCGCAAGACCUCAUGCUCCUGGAGCGGCCGAUAUCUGAUUAGCUAGUUGGUGAGGUAAAGGCUCACCAAGGCGACGAUCAGUAGCUGGUCUGAGAGGACGACCAGCCACACUGGAACUGAGACACGGUCCAGACUCCUACGGGAGGCAGCAGUGGGGAAUUUUGGACAAUGGGCGCAAGCCUGAUCCAGCAAUGCCGCGUGAGUGAAGAAGGCCUUCGGGUUGUAAAGCUCUUUUGUCAGGGAAGAAACGGUAGAGGCUAAUAUCCUUUGCUAAUGACGGUACCUGAAGAAUAAGCACCGGCUAACUACGUGCCAGCAGCCGCGGUAAUACGUAGGGUGCAAGCGUUAAUCGGAAUUACUGGGCGUAAAGCGUGCGCAGGCGGUUUUGUAAGUCUGUCGUGAAAGCCCCGGGCUCAACCUGGGAAUUGCGAUGGAGACUGCAAGGCUUGAAUCUGGCAGAGGGGGGUAGAAUUCCACGUGUAGCAGUGAAAUGCGUAGAGAUGUGGAGGAACACCGAUGGCGAAGGCAGCCCCCUGGGUCAAGAUUGACGCUCAUGCACGAAAGCGUGGGGAGCAAACAGGAUUAGAUACCCUGGUAGUCCACGCCCUAAACGAUGUCUACUAGUUGUCGGGUUUUAAUUAACUUGGUAACGCAGCUAACGCGUGAAGUAGACCGCCUGGGGAGUACGGUCGCAAGAUUAAAACUCAAAGGAAUUGACGGGGACCCGCACAAGCGGUGGAUGAUGUGGAUUAAUUCGAUGCAACGCGAAAAACCUUACCUACCCUUGACAUGUCAGGAAGUCCGGAGAGAUCUGGAUGUGCCCGAAAGGGAACCUGAACACAGGUGCUGCAUGGCUGUCGUCAGCUCGUGUCGUGAGAUGUUGGGUUAAGUCCCGCAACGAGCGCAACCCUUGUCAUUAGUUGCUACGCAAGAGCACUCUAAUGAGACUGCCGGUGACAAACCGGAGGAAGGUGGGGAUGACGUCAAGUCCUCAUGGCCCUUAUGGGUAGGGCUUCACACGUCAUACAAUGGUACAUACAGAGGGCCGCCAACCCGCGAGGGGGAGCUAAUCCCAGAAAGUGUAUCGUAGUCCGGAUCGCAGUCUGCAACUCGACUGCGUGAAGUUGGAAUCGCUAGUAAUCGCGGAUCAGCAUGUCGCGGUGAAUACGUUCCCGGGUCU